AUGCUCGCUUCGGCAGCACAUAUGCUAAAAUUGGAAUAAUACAGAGAAGAUUAGCAUAGCCUCUAUAUGAGGAUGACAUGCAAAUUUGUGAAGAGAAGGCACUGGUG